rnacentral:misc_RNA from 1 species
AACCGUCAAUUCCUUUAAGUUUCACCGUUGCCGGCGUACUCCCCAGGUGGAAUACUUAACGCUUUCGCUUGGCCGCUUGCUGUAUAUCGCAAACAGCGAGUAUUCAUCGUUUACCGUGUGGACUACCAGGGUAUCUAAUCCUGUUUGAUACCCACACUUUCGAGCAUCAAUGUCAGUGGCAGUUUAGUAGGCUGCCUUCGCAAUCGGAGUUCUUCGUGAUAUCUAAGCAUUUCACCGCUACACCACGAAUUCCGCCUACCUCAACUGUACUCAAGGCUGCCAGUAUCAAUUGCAAUUUUACGGUUGAGCCGCAAACUUUCACAACUGGCUUAACAACCCAUCUACGCUCCCUUUAAACCCAAUAAAUCCGGAUAACGCUCGGAUCCUCCGUAUUACCGCG